CAAACCAAAGCUGGCGACCGGCGCACGGUGAGUAACACGUAUCCAACCUGCCUCAUACUCGGGGAUAGCCUUUCGAAAGAAAGAUUAAUAUCCGAUAGCAUAUAUUUCCCGCAUGGGUUUUAUAUUAAAGAAAUUCGGUAUGAGAUGGGGAUGCGUUCCAUUAGUUUGUUGGGGGGUAACGGCCCACCAAGACUACGAUGGAUAGGGGUUCUGAGAGGAAGGUCCCCCACAUUGGAACUGAGACACGGUCCAA
rnacentral:rRNA from 1 species